GAUGAACGCUGGCGGCGUGCCUAAUACAUGCAAGUCGAGCGAACAGACGAGGAGCUUGCUCCUCUGACGUUAGCGGCGGACGGGUGAGUAACACGUGGAUAACCUACCUAUAAGACUGGGAUAACUUCGGGAAACCGGAGCUAAUGCCGGAUAAUAUAUUGAACCGCAUGGUUCAAUAGUGAAAGACGGUUUUGCUGUCACUUAUAGAUGGAUCCGCGCCGCAUUAGCUAGUUGGUAAGGUAACGGCUUACCAAGGCAACGAUGCGUAGCCGACCUGAGAGGGUGAUCGGCCACACUGGAACUGAGACACGGUCCAGACGCCUACGGGAGGCAGCAGUAGGGAAUCUUCCGCAAAGGGCGAAAGCCUGACGGAGCAACGCCGCGUGAGUGAUGAAGGUCUUCGGAUCGUAAAACUCUGUUAUUAGGGAAGAACAAAUGUGUAAGUAACUAUGCACGUCUUGACGGUACCUAAUCAGAAAGCCACGGCUAACUACGUG
rnacentral:rRNA from 1 species